CGGAGGAUCAUUAACGAAAGCUAGAGCGAGGUUGUAGCUGGCUUGCCCCCUCGGGGUCGCGACCGUGCACGCCGCGUCUCCGUCUUUGUCUCUCACACACCUGUGCACCUCUGCGCGGGCCACGGGCGUUCGCUCGUUCGGGGCCCGCGUCCCUUUUGUAACACACUACACACACCCCCUUUGCAUGUCAUCGGAACGCGUCGUUCGCCGUAGGAGCGAAAGAACUUGUACAACUUUCAACAACGGAUCUCUUGGCUCUCGCAUCGAUGAAGAACGCAGCGAAAUGCGAUAAGUAAUGUGAAUUGCAGAAUUCAGUGAAUCAUCGAAUCUUUGAACGCACCUUGCGCCUCUUGGUAUUCCGAGGGGCACGCCUGUUUGAGUAUCGUGAAAUCUUCAACCCGACUCCCCCUUUCUAUCGGAGAAGGGGAAGGGCUUGGACUUUGGAGGUCUUGCCGGUCCCUUUGUCUGGACCCGGCUCCUCUCGAAUGCAUUAGCGGAGCUCCCUCUCCUCUUGCCUCGCCUCUCGGUGUGAUAGCCUGAUCUGCGCCGACGCGUGAAGGGAGGAAGAAGCGCCGCUUCUAACCCAUCUCGUCCAUCCUCUCUCGGGGGGGGGUGGGCGUGCUUCCGAACCCAUCGAUCUCAAAUCAGGCGGGACUACCCGCUGAACUUAAGCAUAUCAAUAAGCGGAGGAAAAGAAACUAACCAGGAUUCCCCUAGUAACUGCGAGUGAAGCGGGAAAAGCUCAAAUUUGUAAUCUGGCGGCCUUUGGCCGUCCGAGUUGUAGUCUGGAGAAGCGCUUUCCGCGCUGGACCGUGUACAAGUCCUCCUGAA
rnacentral:rRNA from 1 species